UACGAAGGGGGCUAGCGUUGUUCGGAAUUACUGGGCGUAAAGCGUGCGCAGGCGGCUUCCCAAGUCAGUGGUGAAAGCCCGGAGCUCAACUCCGGAAAUGCCAUUGAAACUGUGAAGCUUGAGAACGAGAGAGGUGGGUGGAAUUCCCAGUGUAGAGGUGAAAUUCGUAGAUAUUGGGAAGAACACCAGUGGCGAAGGCGGCUCACUGGCUCGUAACUGACGCUCAUGCACGAUAGCGUGGGGAUCAAACAGG
rnacentral:rRNA from 1 species